GAUGAACGCUAGCUACAGGCUUAACACAUGCAAGUCGAGGGGAAACGAUAGAGAAAGCUUGCUUUUUCUAGGCGUCGACCGGCGCACGGGUGAGUAACGCGUAUCCAACCUGCCCACCACUUGGGGAUAACCUUGCGAAAGUAAGACUAAUACCCAAUGACGUUCAUAGAAGACAUCUGAAAUGGAUUAAAGAUUUAUCGGUGAUGGAUGGGGAUGCGUCUGAUUAGCUUGUUGGCGGGGUAACGGCCCACCAAGGCGACGAUCAGUAGGGGUUCUGAGAGGAAGGUCCCCCACAUUGGAACUGAGACACGGUCCAAACUCCUACGGGAGGCAGCAGUGAGGAAUAUUGGUCAAUGGGCGAGAGCCUGAACCAGCCAAGUAGCGUGCAGGAUGACGGCCCUAUGGGUUGUAAACUGCUUUUAUAAGGGAAUAAAGUGAGUCUCGUGAGACUUUUUGCAUGUACCUUAUGAAUAAGGACCGGCUAAUUCCGUGCCAGCAGCCGCAGUAA
rnacentral:rRNA from 1 species